rnacentral:rRNA from 1 species
UACGUAGGGCGCAAGCGUUGUCCGGAUUUAUUGGGCGUAAAGAGCUCGUAGGCGGUUUGUCGCGUCUGCUGUGAAAACCUGAGGCUCAACCUCGGGCUUGCAGUGGGUACGGGCAGACUAGAGUGCGGUAGGGGUGACUGGAAUUCCUGGUGUAGCGGUGGAAUGCGCAGAUAUCAGGAGGAACACCGAUGGCGAAGGCAGGUCACUGGGCCGCAACUGACGCUGAGGAGCGAAAGCAUGGGGAGCGAACAGG